rnacentral:rRNA from 1 species
GACGAACGCUGGCGGCGUGCUUAACACAUGCCAGUCGAACGGAAAGGCCCUGCUUUUGUGGGGUGCUCGAGUGGCGAACGGGUGAGUAACACGUGAGUAACCUGCCCUUGACUUUGGGAUAACUUCAGGAAACUGGGGCUAAUACCGGAUAGGAGCUCCUGCUGCAUGGUGGGGGUUGGAAAGUUUCGGCGGUUGGGGAUGGACUCGCGGCUUAUCAGCUUGUUGGUGGGGUAGUGGCUUACCAAGGCUUUGACGGGUAGCCGGCCUGAGAGGGUGACCGGCCACAUGGGGACUGAGAUACGGCCCAGACUCCUACGGGAGGCAGCAGUGGGGAAGAUUGCACAAUGGGCGGAAGCCUGAUGCAGCAACGCCGCGUGCGGGAUGACGGCCUUCGGGUUGUAAACCGCUUUCGCCUGUGACGAAGCGUGAGUGACGGUAAUGGGUAAAGAAGCACCGGCUAACUACGUG